AUAAUAAACAAGAGUAAGAUCAUGCCCACUUCAAGGACUGAACUGCUUUUUAAUGGGGAGUGUGCCAGGGACAAGAGUAAUAGAGAUAUUUCUUUUAUUAGGCGUUACAGAGAGUGAACAAAUGUCAGCACAUUCACUGAAGGCAACAAGCAGCCAUUUAAAAACUGUAAACACAAAUUACUCAGACAAGUGAUGAAAUGUGUUCAGAAUAGAGACCAGCCCACAAAGGCCAGGUGCAGUCCACACCUGAGUGUUUUGCAAAGUCACAGAGAUUGUGAGUGUUACAAUCCCCCCUAACUUGGACUGAAUUCAGAUAGCUAAUGUCAAGGUAAAUGCAAACUAUCAAUUAACAUAGCCCAAAAUAAUAGGCAAAAACAAACAAAAAAAUCAGACUUCAACUUCAACCCAACAAAAUACUGAGUGUAGAAUAAUUUAUAAUCACUAAACAUAGCCCACGGUGAGUUAACUUAGGUUCCGAUGAUUACCUAUAUAUUAAAAGAGAAAGAAUAUCAGGAUUCCACUUUAUUUAUCUAAGUAAACCGACCGAGGGCAUUAGGUGAGGGAAUAGAUUCAGUAAUUCCUAUUGGUUGUCUAUGAAAUGAGUUGAAUUUCUAAAUAUGAUUGAAGUUUUCAAAUAAGUGGAUUAGUAAUCUCCCCUCCGACCUUUCUGAAGUAGAAUCUUUCAAACAUCAGGGGACUAAAGAGGAAGCAUAUUAAAGUGAAGAUUAUGCUUGACUACUGCAAAAAAGGCGUAUACACUAUAAGCCUAUAUACACUAUGAUUUAGAGAGAGAUACUAACUGUUUAGGGGUCCAUUUAACAACUGUUUUUUAGGUGAUCAGCUGCUUCACAGGGAGGAAGUGGAUAAGCUAGGGGAGUAGAGCAGAACAGGGGAGGCAAAUAUUUUACCUGUUUCCAUUGGAGUAUAGUUUCUCCAGUGACAACCAAGUUGAAAUUGAAUAUUUAUCAUAAGCAAGUACAGAUGUAAUAUUUUUCAAUAUUAAGUUUUCAAUUUGUAUUAUUAGUACCAGUCAAUACUUCCCAAGAAUAUUCUGCCAUUUAUAAAUUCUUUAGAUUAUUAAUUAGUAAAUGUUAAUUGAAAAGUGAUUUCCAGCAUUAAAUGAAUUUUUUAAUCCAAAGUCUCCCAAAGAUAAAUGGAGAUGCAUGCAACAAUAGCAUUCUGCUGCUUAUGAAAAGGAAAAUGAACUUCUGUAGGUUCUGUGAAAUACCAUAUGGUUGAAAAAUGUGGUUCUAACUAAUGAAAAAUAAUAGCCAAUUUAAAAGUCCUUGUUCUUUUGCCAUACAGAAGGUUCAGGAUCCUGCAUUUUCACUGCAGUGACUUAGGUUGCUGCUGUGGCAUGGAUUCAAUCCCUAGCCCAGGUUUUCCGCAUCCUGUGGGCAUAGCCAAAAAAAAAUUUUGUUAAAAUCCUAUUAUAAACCAAGCAGUGGGCUGGAUGAAUAUACAACUGUUAUCUUUCUUUUUCUUUUGUCUUUUUAGGGUCACACCCACAGUAUAUGGAGGUUCCCAGACUAGGGGUCUAUUCGGAGCUGUAGCACCCUGCCUACACCACAGCCACAGCAACACGGGAUCCGAGCCAUAUCUGUGACCCUACACCAUAGCUCACGGCCAUACUGGAUCCUUAGGCCACUGAGCAAGGCCAGGGAUCAAACCUGCGUCCUCAUGGAUGCUAGUCAGAUUUAUUUCUGCUGAGCCAUGAGGAACUCCCUACAACUGUUAUCUUAAUCAUGUCACCACAAAAUUCAUGGAAUGGAAGUACUCACCCCUGAUACUUCAGAAUGUGACUGUAUUUGGAGAAAAAGGCUUUAAAGAGGUAAUAAAGGGAGGGACAAGGUGGACCCUAAUCCAGUAUGAGUGAUGUCCUAAAUAGAGGAGAUUAUGUCACAGACAGCACAAGAAAUAACCACGUGAGGGCGCAGUGCGAAGGUGGACACCUGCAAGCCAUGGAGAGAGACCUCGAAGAAACCAAGCCUGCGAACACCUUAAUCUUGGUCUUCCAGCCUCCAGAACUGGGGCAAAAUACAUUUCUGUUGUUUAAGCCACCCAGUCUGGUAUUUCAUUAUGUCAGCCCUAGCAAAUUACUACAAGUUACUGUGUCAUUUAAUCCCCACGAUGACCCUGUGAUGAGGACAGCGUUCUUGUUACCACCUGCUUUCACUGGUGAGAAAACUGGGCCUUGAACUUCACUGUACAAUGUCUCAAUGACAGCCGUACUUUUGAAAGACAUUUUACUCCCAUGAAUGUCUGGCAGUUCUUUCUCAGAUCUCAUUUUUCCCAAUCCUAGACAUUUGCCAAAGAAGAAAAGAAGAAAACUUGCCUAGAGGUUAAUUGUGAACUGGAGAAUUAAUUUUUACUUUCUCUGUGUUUUCCAAUUUUUCUACGACAAACUUAUACUGGUUUUCUGAUUUAAAAAUAUAAAUAAGUGAGAAAAGGAAGAUUCAUGAUUAAUCCCAGCUAUUCUAAUUUGUCUCCCUGAUGUAUCCCCAUGGGUGACGUGUUUUCACUGUGUCACACCUCCCCUUGUUGAUCCUUUGCAUUUUUUUCAUUCUCAGUGUUAUGUUCCUGUGUGUUUGCCCUAGUUAAUGGGUUGGCUCCUUAAAGACAAGGCAGUGUCUUGGUAUGACAGUUUAUAUUUUCAUAUCCCCUUGUAUUUAGUUAACUAUUUUAACAUUACAAAGCAAACAUGCUCCUUAAGAACAUUUUAAAAAUAAAUUUAUUAUGUAUCCUCCACUUAAAUUUCUAUAUUUGAAAAUUUGAGCUGAAAAUAUCUCUGUGGUUUAAGGACUUUCCUACACUGAGGGCUGUUUGUUUUGUUUUGUUUUGUUUUUAGAAUACAUGUCUUAAUUAGCCUACAGUUAAGUUAAAGGCUUUGAACCCUUUUAACACUUGGAUUCAGAUUGUCUAGGAGCCUCCCUGAGGGAGGGAUACAGUUUCAGCAAUGUGUGAAUGCCAAGUGUAUUCUUGCCAACACCAGCCAUUUUUGUUUUUUUAAAAAAAUCUGGGCCAAAUUGACAGGUGAACGUGAUGUCUCCUGAUUGCUUUAAUUAGUAUUUCUAAAAACUUGAACAUUCUUUCACAUGGUUAUUUUACAAUUUAAAGUCUUCUUUAAAUCAUACUGUUUAUUAGAGUUCCCAUCGUGGCACAGUGGUUAAUGAAUCUGACUAGGAACCAUGAGGUUGCAGGUUCAAUCCCUGGCCUUGCUCAGUGGGUUAAGGAUACCGUGAGCUGUGGUAUAGGUUGCAGACGCAGCUCGCAUCCUGUGUUGCCGUGGCUCUGGUGUAGGCUCUGAUAUUGACCCCUAGCCUGGGAACCUCCAUAUGCCAUGGGAGCAGCCCUAGAAAAAGCAAAAAGAC
rnacentral:lncRNA from 1 species